AGGAACUCGAGGCAGGAUGAAGGUGGUGCAAACCCGUUUCCUGUAAGAUCCUUCGAGUCCAACGUCUAGGAUGAUGUCGGCACUGGAAAAAUGGAGGAUGCAAAUGUGCAGGAUCUCGUUGGGACGGAUCUCCAGAACCUCGACCUUUGAGCUACAUCUGCCUUCAAAUCCAGCUGAGCUCCUGCAGUUUCGGAGUUCGAUGUAAGCCUUGCAUCAGUUCCCCUUCAGAUCUCCGUGGAAAGUCGGUGUCGAGUCUCCGGUGAGUUGACGAGCAUCGAGUUCAAGCCACAUGUCAACAGCU